UACGGGGGGAGCAAGCGUUGUUCGGAUUUACUGGGCGUAAAGGGCGCGUAGGCGGUCAGCACAAGUCAGUUGUGAAAACUGGAGGCUUAACCUCCAGACGUCGACGGAAACCGCGUGGCUAGAGUCCGGAAGAGGAGAGUGGAAUUCCUGGUGUAGCGGUGAAAUGCGCAGAUAUCAGGAAGAACACCAAUGGCGAAGGCAGCUCUCUGGGGCGGUACUGACGCUGAGACGCGAAAGCGUGGGGAGCGAACAGG
rnacentral:rRNA from 1 species